UCGUGUUGUUUGCCGUCUUACUGCUUGUCGUUUUUGUCUCGGUUCGUCUGUUGCAUUAACAGAUGGCUUCUCUACGCUUCCUAUCUCGUUUACAGCCUAUAGUGUCUCAUUCCGGCAACACCCAUGCCUGCCCAGCAACAGCCUUUUUAGGUAGGCCCUGUAAAAACACCACCGCGCUGUCUAGCACAGACAUCUACUCAGACACUACGCACAAGUAAGCCCAUAUGGGACACGUGUGGUUGACGACGGGCAUCGGCAAGAAGCGGCUUUGCCGUCGAUGCUCAUGUAAUGUAAUACGUGCGCUCCCGCAUGAUCGGCACAAGUAAAGAUACAGGCAUAUAUAGACGUGCUGCCGAAACGUUCGUGCAGUGUCCCCUCCCUCAGUUUCUACGAUGCGUUAUGACGCCUGAAGGCAACGACGACAAGUUUCUUUAGAGAGGACGUCCUGGCCAUAACUUGCUGAGUACUGCUUCUUGUGCGCUGAAGUAAAGCUUGGCUGACAUUCGUUCAUUGCCCUUUAGUCCUAAUGUGAAUUUCUUCGUUUCGAAUGCCCUCACUCUAUCAUCACAAUCAGUAUUGUCAUCGCCAGCACUGCACUGCCUUAAUCGUGAUUUUGAUUCUUUUUCGUUGCCGUAAUCGCUUAUGCCACACGCAGCGCCUUUGUCGCUUUCAGCUUGCGGAGACUCGGUGAGCGCUUGCUGUCGCGCUACAGCGGACAUUUAUUCCAGCUACACUCAACUGACGAACGACAUCGAUGAUGGCAGUGGUCUAGCAAGCUUACUCACAUCAAAAUCCGGCAAAGAUUGGGGUCAAGCAUCGAUCGAACAGGGCCUGCGGAGUCACCAAUUCAAUAGUGAUUGCCUACGACCACAUAAUAAAGCACAAUAACACACACGAAUAACAGCAUACAGAAGCACAUAUACAAAAUGAACUAUCUCAACCACAUAUACAUAUUUUGUUGUAUGUACGUUGCGAAAUUGGACGAAAGCUAUCUCAAGCUAUUGCAAUAGAGGAGUUCUAGGAUUUAAAUGUUAUGCUUUCUUUUAGCGGCAUUAGUGCUCAGAGUUGUGGCCAUCUUUUUAUUUAGAUUUUGCAUUGUUGCUGGUGUGGUUCAUCGAACGAAAGAAAAAACUGAGCCUGGGAAUCUAACGAAAAAAAAGUCGCGAAUCAGUGGAAAAUUUUACCUAAGAAUAACGAAAUGGCCUAUUUUCGUUUCCUCGAUAAUGAAGACAGUUCCCUAUGCUUUGUAUACAUAUGAGUGGUAAAGAACGUUGCAAGAUUCAAAGUUUUCAAGAUGGUGCUUGUGGCGUAUAGAGGAGGAGCGUAUAGGCACAUGUGCAUUUUGCAAACGGAAAGUAUAAGUUGCGAGUUGUCUUACUGCCCGUCAACGAUACCGGACAGUUAAACGACUUCAUGUUAAAGUUACGGUCAGUAACUUGUACGAAUAUAUCACGAGAAAAAGAGGACAUCAAACUCGAUAAAUAUGGCAGUCGUCGUGGGGACUUUAAUUGGGGAAAAGCAGAGGAUUGCUGCGAAAACAGAUAUUCAAGACCUGGCCACAGAAGCGAUGUCGGACCGUGGAUAAUAUAUGUUGGACUAGCUUGGAAGACUGACCCCAUUUCGAGACGUGCGAAAAACUGUAAUUCUUUUU